rnacentral:tRNA from 1 species
GCGGGCAUGGCGGAAUUGGCAGACGCGCAAGAUUCAGGUUCUUGUGUCCGUAAGGACGUGGAGGUUCAACUCCUCUUGCCCGCAC